UACUGUUCAUCUUCUUUCUCUUGUAGAUCAUUUAUUAGUGCCGCCACCCACCGUCGCUUUCGGCAAUCUCUGGCAAUGCCUCCACCUACAUCCGCCGCCUCCGUCCACCUCCGGCAACGCCUCUGCCCACCUCCGCCUCCGGAGGUUCUUAGAGUGAUGCUGCAGAAGCCCCUAGUCAAUGACAAGGUCCCAGUAUGUACUUCCCGCUGCUGAAAUGACAAGGAUAUUGAGUUGGAUACAUCCCUGCCCUCAACAAUUAUGUGACUCUUGAGCACAAAUACUUAAACAUUUACUCUCAAACAAUAUUGCCGCGUGCCGGAGGAGUCGGAAGAUAUUGUUGGCAUCCCUCUCACAAUGGAGUAGCGUUUUCCUGGCUACAUUCUCUAUGAACUAUGAUGCAACGCCAACAAAACUAGAAAACCUAAGAUCUCCGAUUCCACCACGAUGGGAUCGAUGUAGCUGUGAGGUCAGUGUGAGGAGCAGGAGCAGGAGCAGACUCCAAUUGCGCCUGGUAUCCUUUCUUGGGCAGAAAGAGGCCUGGGGCUAGGAAAUUAACAAGAAAACAGAACAUGUUGGCCCACCUCAAAUCUAAAUCCAGUAGGAAACACUCAGGAAGAAGAGAUUGGCAAGUGGAGAAACAGGAAGAAAACAUAAGACAAAGCAACACAAUAGCACCAACAGAUUUAUGGGGCAAAUAGAGAAACAGAGGAGAAGUCCACUACUGAGAGAAUGCAGUUACAAUUCUCACAACCUUUUCACUAAAACCCUAGCUUCCAAUUCAUCCAAAAUUCUCUCUCUUUGUAUCUCACACUCUUGUUCUCUUUUCUUGACCCCCAAGGAUAUAAGAUAACUUUCUAGGUUAUUUAUAUGAAAAAAACCCAAACUAGAUGAAUCCCACAAAACUGCUCAAAAAUGAAUUCACAAGUCCAAGGAGAUCUGACUGCAAAUCUAGAGAUCAGCAAGAUUGAGACGUACGAGCCCAGCCUGCAAAACCAAGCUACUGCAAGUCUGGAUGGCUAGUGAAUCUCGCCGGUUCAGAUGAACUGUGAGAUCCAACAUCCUGCAACAUUGGAUAACCUAUGAGAUCAGAUACUUGUGAGAUGAGACCUAUACAGUAUACACGAUUGAUUCAACUGCAAUUCCCUUGGCACUCCAAGUCCAUAUAUCACGGGAGCACCCCAAGGUGAUCAGUCGUGGGCUACAGUGGCCCAAUUUCUCCCCUUCCACCACAAAUUAUUAUAAAAUGGGAAAAUUCCUGAUAGUUACCCUGCAAUUUAGGUUGAAUGUCAUUUUAGUUUCCGAAGUUUAAAAUGCGACAAUCUAAUAUCCAAACUUUUGAAAUGCA